AACGCACAUUGCGCCCUCUGGUAUUCCGGGGGGCAUGCCUGUUCGAGCGUCAUUACAACCCUCAAGCUCUGCUUGGUGUUGGGCUCGCCCUGUAGGGCCUGCCUCAAAGUCAGUGGCGGCACCGUCUGACCCUAAGCGUAGUAAUACUCGCCGCUUGUGGACUCAGCGCGUGGCCUGCCAGCCAACCCCCACCAUCAAGGUUGACCUCGGAUCAGGUAGGGAUACCCGCUGAACUUAA
rnacentral:misc_RNA from 2 species